UACGUAGGGCGCAAGCGUUGUCCGGAAUCAUUGGGCGUAAAGGGCGCGUAGGUGGCGGCUUAAGCGUGCGGUGAAAGCUCGGGGCUCAACCCCGAGUCGGCCGUGCGAACUGAGUCGCUUGAGCACUGUAGAGGCAGGCGGAAUUCCGGGUGUAGCGGUGGAAUGCGUAGAGAUCUGGAGGAACACCGAUGGCGAAGGCAGCCUUCUGGGCCAACACUGACGCUCAUGCACGAAAGCGUGGGGAGCAAACAGG
rnacentral:rRNA from 1 species